CCGUUGCUGGCUUGUGCGUUGUCUAGCGCCUGGCCGCAACGAGUAGGAGGGUCGUGGCGGUUGCGUCGAAGGCUUUGGGCGUAGGCCCAGCUGGAGCUUCCGUCAGUGCAGAUCUCGGUGGUAGUAGCAAAUAUUUAAGUUCGAUCCUUGAAGACUGAAGUGGAGAAGGGUUCCACGUGAACAGUAGUUGAAUGUGGGUCAGUCGAUCCUAAGAUACUGGCUUAUGCCUUGUAUCAUUGAGAGGGAAAAGUUUCUUUUCUCUCGGAUAUCAAAAGGGAAUAGGGUUAAUAUUCCCUAACGCAGACACAGAGAUUGCGGCUCUUUGAGUCGCUUGCGCGGUAACGCAUUCGAACUUGGUUACGUCGCUCAGAGACCGAGCUAGAGUUCUCUUCUCUAGUUAAGGAACGGACUCCCUGGAAUCGGUUCAGCCGUAGAUAGGGACGUUGUUUCCGUAAAGCAUCGCGGUUUCUGUGAUGUCUCGUGUUCUUUGGACGGCCCUUGAAAAACCAAGGAAGGCUAUCAAUCUGUGCUGCAUCGUACCGAUAUCCGC
rnacentral:rRNA from 1 species